UAUGUUUCUCACUCCUUAUCUACAACAAUAUUUUUUCCUACAAUUAACAUUGAUACUAAAGAUGCUGUACCUAGAAAAAUUCUCGCGUUGAUGAAUGAUGAAAGACUUACAAAGGAGAAUGUGGCCAGUCAUCUUCAGAAAUAUAAACUUUUUCUCAAAAGAAUUAGCAGCAACUGUGUGGCAAGUGGAAAUGGUUCUAUAAUUGGUUGUGGACAAUUUCAGAAUGUUUCUCCAAGUGAUCCUGUGUAUCAGAACGAUGCUGUUCAAGAAAUGCCGAUGCCAACAUGGCAUUCCGACGAAAGCCUUGAUUCGUUGAUCGAUAAUGUGUUUCUGCAAUGGUGGGAAGACCAUAAUAAGGACACAACUGACCUUUCAAAUGUUAUUGGUACCUCACCAAACACACUGACUUCGUUGAAGGAUGUUGUUAAUAAUAAUCUUGGUUCACCAGAAAACUUGGUUACUGUUGCAUCUCCCAGCUGC